rnacentral:rRNA from 1 species
UACGGAGGGUGCGAGCGUUGUCCGGAAUCAUUGGGCGUAAAGGGCGCGUAGGUGGCCCGGUCAGUUCGUGGUGAAAGCGCGGGGCUCAACUCCGCGUCGGCCAUGAAUACUGCUGGGCUGGAGCACUGUAGAGGCAGGCGGAAUUCCGGGUGUAGCGGUGGAAUGACGUAGAGAUCCGGAAGAACACCGGAGGCGAAGGCGGCCGAC